CAUGCAAGUCGAACGAUGAAGCCCUUCGGGGUGGAUUAGUGGCGAACGGGUGAGUAACACGUGGGCAAUCUGCCCUUCACUCUGGGACAAGCCCUGGAAACGGGGUCUAAUACCGGAUAACACUCGCCGAGGCAUCUCGGUGGGUUGAAAGCUCCGGCGGUGAAGGAUGAGCCCGCGGCCUAUCAGCUUGUUGGUGAGGUAGAAGCUCACCAAGGCGACGACGGGUAGCCGGCCUGAGAGGGCGACCGGCCACACUGGGACUGAGACACGGCCCAGACUCCUACGGGAGGCAGCAGUGGGGAAUAUUGCACAAUGGGCGAAAGCCUGAUGCAGCGACGCCGCGUGAGGGAUGACGGCCUUCGGGUUGUAAACCUCUUUCAGCAGGGAAGAAGCGAAAGUGACGGUACCUGCAGAAGAAGCGCCGGCUAACUACGUGCCAGCAGCCGCGGUAAUACGUAGGGCGCAAGCGUUGUCCGGAAUUAUUGGGCGUAAAGAGCUCGUAGGCGGUCUGUCACGUCGGAUGUGAAAGCCCGGGGCUUAACCCCGGGUCUGCAUUCGAUACGGGCAGACUAGAGUGUGGUAGGGGAGAUCGGAAUUCCUGGUGUAGCGGUGAAAUGCGCAGAUAUCAGGAGGAACACCGGUGGCGAAGGCGGAUCUCUGGGCCAUUACUGACGCUGAGGAGCGAAAGCGUGGGGAGCGAACAGGAUUAGAUACCCUGGUAGUCCACGCCGUAAACGGUGGGAACUAGGUGUUGGCGACAUUCCACGUCGUCGGUGCCGCAGCUAACGCAUUAAGUUCCCCGCCUGGGGAGUACGGCCGCAAGGCUAAAACUCAAAGGAAUUGACGGGGGCCCGCACAAGCAGCGGAGCAUGUGGCUUAAUUCGACGCAACGCGAAGAACCUUACCAAGGCUUGACAUCGCCCGGAAAGCAUCAGAGAUGGUGCCCCCCUUGUGGUCGGGUGACAGGUGGUGCAUGGCUGUCGUCAGCUCGUGUCGUGAGAUGUUGGGUUAAGUCCCGCAACGAGCGCAACCCUUGUUCUGUGUUGCCAGCAUGCCCUUCGGGGUGAUGGGGACUCACAGGAGACUGCCGGGGUCAACUCGGAGGAAGGUGGGGACGACGUCAAGUCAUCAUGCCCCUUAUGUCUUGGGCUGCACACGUGCUACAAUGGCAGGUACAAUGAGCUGCGAUGUCGCAAGGCGGAGCGAAUCUCAAAAAGCCUGUCUCAGUUCGGAUUGGGGUCUGCAACUCGACCCCAUGAAGUCGGAGUUGCUAGUAAUCGCAGAUCAGCAUUGCUGCGGUGAAUACGUUCCCGGGCCUUGUACACACCGCCCGUCACGUCACGAAAGUCGGUAACACCCGAAGCCGGUGGCCCAACCCCCUUGUGGGGAGGGAGCUGUCGAAGGUGGGACUGGCGAUUGGGACGAAGUCGUAACAAG
rnacentral:rRNA from 1 species